rnacentral:tRNA from 1 species
ACCUGGGUGGCUCAGUCGGUUAAGCAUCAGACUUUGGCUCAGGUCAUGGGCUUGAAGGUCGUGGGUUCGAGUCCCACGUCGGGCU